UCCAGCGCACUCACCUAUCCACUAAACAGCAACUUCAAUGUUGAAAGAUUGUAUUUGUUUUUUUAAAAACACCUAAUCUAGGCAAAAAAAUUAUUUUUGCCUAGAUUAGGUGUUUUUAAAAAAAACAAAUACAAUCUUUCAACAUUGAAGUUGCUGUUUAGUGGAUAGGUGAGUGCGCUGGA
rnacentral:miRNA from 1 species